rnacentral:sRNA from 1 species
GCUGGGCGUGGUGGUGCACGCCUGUAAUCCCAGCGACUAGGGAGGCUGAGGCAGGAGGAUCACGAGUUCAAAGCCAGCUUCAGCAAUUUAGCGAGGCACUUAGCAACUCGGGAAGACCCUGUCUCUG